rnacentral:rRNA from 1 species
CAGCAGCGCGGUAAUACGUAGGUGGCAGCGUAUCAGAAUAUUGGGCGUAAAGCGCGCGCAGGCGGUCUCUUAAGUCUGAUGUGAAAGCCACGGCUCAACCGUGGAGCGUCAUUGGAAACUGGGAGACUUGAGUGCAGGAGAGAAAAGUGGAAUUCCACGUGUAGCGGUGAAAUGCGUAGAGAUGUGGAGGAACACCAGUGGCGAAGGCGGCUUUUUGGCCUGUAACUGACGCUGAGGCGCGAAAGCGUGGGGAGCAAACAGGAUUAGAUACCCUGGUAGUCUCACGCCGUAAACGAUGAGUGCUAGGUGUUGGGGGGUUCCACCCUCAGUGCUGAAGUUAACACAUUAAGCACUCCGCCUGGGGAGUACGACCGCAAGGUUGAAACUCAAAGGAAUUGACGGGGGCCCGCACAAGCAGUGGAGCAUGUGGUUUAAUUCGAAGCAACGCGAAGAACCUUACCAGGUCUUGACAUCCUUUGACCACUCUAGAGAUAGAGCUUUCCCCUUCGGGGGACAAAGUGACAGGUGGUGCAUGGUUGUCGUCAGCUCGUGUCGUGAGAUGUUGGGUUAAGUCCCGCAACGAGCGCAACCCUUGACCUUAGUUGCCAGCAUUCAGUUGGGCACUCUAAGGUGACUGCCGGUGACAAACCGGAGGAAGGUGGGGAUGACGUCAAAUCAUCAUGCCCCUUAUGACCUGGGCUACACACGUGCUACAAUGGAUGAUACAAAGGGUUGCAAAGCCGCGAGGCCAAGCCAAUCCCAAAAAGUCAUUCUCAGUUCGGAUUGUAGGCUGCAACUCGCCUACAUGAAGCCGGAAUUGCUAGUAAUCGCGGAUCAGCAUGCCGCGGUGAAUACGUUCCCGGGCCUUGUACACACCGCCCGUCACACCACGAGAGUUUGUAACACCCGAAGUCGGUGGGGUAACCCUUUUGGGAGCCAGCCGCCGUA